GCCCAUGGUCCAUGUCUUACCUGAUUAUUCUACCACCUGUACAGUUCAAGACGAGGUGCGAGCUUGGUAGCAGCAGACUGUCGUCCGUCUGUGUGUUUUAUAUCGCACAGGACAAGCUAACCGUCUGAGUAUAGCAGUCUUAGGACAGGAAGAAGAAUUUAUUUCUUUGGAGUCAAAUUAUGUGCAGACUCUCAAAACCUGUCCAGUAGCUCUAGUUUCAAUGAAAAAAAGAGUUGACUUGAAGAAGUUACCAGUUUAUUUCGUGUGAGGUUUUCAAAGAACCAAAUCAUAGGAAAUGGUGAUGUUAAUUCUGUCUUCUUCUUUGCUCUUGAUUCUACUCGGAACAUGUUUUGGCGAGGGGCAAAAAUAUAGCUGUGAAGUCCGAUUUGAUGGAAAGUGUAUAAAUAAAGUGACUUGCCAAAUCCCCGACACCUACCGCCAGGAGGGAAGACCUUUUACCAUUUUCUAUGUCUCAAAUGGACAAACAGAAAAGGCUGUGGUGCUGCACAAUGUUGGGAGGUACAUUUGUGACGCGGCAGGGGACCACAUCUGUGACCAGAACGCGACAUCCAUCACCAUCGACUCUAAGACAUCGUGUGUAGAGAACAGAGAAUACAUCCUUGCUGCUGAUGGAGAAAGCGGGAAUUCCUUGCUCAACUAUAAAAAGUCAGCAGAAGACUCCUGACCCGGGCGAAGAAGAAGCUGUUGUAUGCCUUGAAGAUACAACAGUCGGUAAUGAGACUAACGGCCAUGUCAAAAAGCGAGAAGCCACUAAGAAAUGUAGAAAGAGGUCGCUACCACAGCAGGAAGGCGAGU
rnacentral:lncRNA from 1 species